rnacentral:rRNA from 1 species
UACGAAGGGGGCUAGCGUUGCUCGGAAUUAUUGGGCGUAAAGCGCACGUAGGCGGUUUGUUAAGUCGGAUGUGAAAUCCCGGGGCUCAACCUCGGAACUGCCUUUGAUACAGCACGUCUCGAGUCCGGAAGAGGUGGGUGGAAUUCCUAGUGUAGAGGUGAAAUUCGUAGAUAUUCGGAAGAACACCAGUGGCGAAGGCGGCUCACUGGUCCGGUACUGACGCUGAGGUGCGAAAGCGUGGGGAGCAAACAGG